rnacentral:misc_RNA from 1 species
CGCCCCGUUCGGUUCAGCCACCCCAGCAAGCAGCAGCAGCGUGACUGCGGGCGAGGCCAGUAAGCCUACUAGCGACGACGUCCGCGACUCGUCGCCAGUGCUGGCGUACGAACAUGCUUCCUUCAUUGGAUCAAUGCACUCUGGCAACCAUAGCGCCCUAGCCUCGUCGCGCCCACGAAACACCGUUGCCCCGGCCCCGCUACUGUCCGUUAGCGACUUGCGGCGCCGUUCCCCGCCAGCGUCGACGCCUUUGGCGACGCCUGCGACGCUUUCAGAGUGUAGCGAAGCAAGUGGGUCCCGUCGCGGGGGCAAUCACUGGCGCCUUUCGUCCCCUCGCAUCUCCCUCUCGAACGUCGAGGCUGCGCUGGACAAGGUAGCGGAGAGCGGACGGAGUGUUCGAUCGACAGAGCAGGAGGCUUCCCCGGUGUCACCGCGGAAGCGGACAGUGGCGGUCAACCAACACGACAGCGAGUCCCCUACUUUAGGUGCGAUGAAGCAGUCGAUGGCCGAGCGUCGCUUGCUCCAAGCCGUGAUGCAGUUGAAUGAGCGCCAACGCCCCACCGAUCGGGCGGCCGCCUCGUCCGUGGUACCGAGCAGGACAAAGACGAGCGCGUCUCCCGCGGUAAUGGUAGAGAUGCCGAGCGGGACCGUUGGCAGCCGCGCAGGCGGCGCCCUCAGCAGCAACUCCGUCUCCACCUUUAGCUCGGAUGGGCGUGGCGUGCGAGCGCUGCGUGGGACAGCCCCGGCACUGGGCAGCCCCCACGCAAACGUUCUUUCGGCCGAGGUACGUCAGUUUCUUGACGCCGGUGCGGCCUCGCUGUCCUCCACAACAUCUCGGCGUUCACGCGCCAGCCACCCAGCAGCAGUGGACGAGGCAGGCAUCGCCUACUCGAGCGCGCGAACGCAGGCUUUCGGUGCUCAGCUUUCUAGCGCACGCAGCACUACGACACCCCCAGCAGCCACCGCGGCAACUAGCGCCGUGAAUGGCAACCGCGGAAGCGCCAAUGUCCUGAGGGCCAACUCCACCAGCAAAGUGCUCUCGCCCUCCCCCUUCCCAUUUGCUGAGCCAGCGGUGCCAAAGGCUGGAGGGCGUGGCUCUCAGGUGUCGAGGAAGGAUGACACCGUCACCGCCGCCCCGUCGGCGUCGUCCAGUGAAGCUCGGCGAUCGGGCACAAUCAUAUCGCACCUGCAUAAUCAACUGAGCAUGCCCGCCUCUCAGCCGGCGCACCCUCAGUUGGACGACGGCGACAAGGACGAGGAUGAGUCGGAGCCGCACAUACAGGUACCGGUUCCCAUCCCGCGAACACCGCCUAGCAAGUCGAGCUGGACAGCGCAGUGACGAUAGCAAAUAAAGGAAACGGAUACCAAAGCCCCUCCCAAAAGGCGAGGAAGUGCGAGCACAUCUCCGUUAUCUCCUGAGGCUGUCAGAGAGCACCCGCGGCGGCGACAGUGCUGUGCGUGGUUGCACGUGUACGUGUAGGUUUUCAUAUGCAGCUGGCAUGGUGAGCCGCGUCGGCAAUCAAGUUGGGUGCUGGUGAAGCACAACGCCACACACACACACACACACACACACCAAAAGAAGAUAACUGCAGCGAAGCGUGACAGAAUUGUGAAAUGGUAGGCAAAGAGAGGAGCAGGAGGGAGCCUCAAGUGCGCUGAAGACACAUGCAUGAUGGCUUUACACCCCUUGGGGCUUUCACCUCUCCCCCAUCCUCGGUAGCAGCUGCACUCACGGCUGUGUGUAUGGCCUCGAAGGAAAGGGACGAGACAAUGAAGCAAGGCGCGUAAAUGGACGAGGCAGGUGCAGGGGUGGUGUUGGACGGCCCUUCUCGUUGCUGCGUGGCCUCCCGCUUAUGCUUUUAGUAUGAUUGUUUUUAUACGAGUGGUUGU